GGAAACUGGGGUAAAUCCCCAGGCUGGGGGAAAGCAGGGGGUCUCCAGGUUAAACCCAGACCUCUGGAGGCACAGCACAGGAGUUGCAUGGUAAACAGAGCAUUGGGCUCUGGCUAGAGAGAGGCCUGUGUUUGAACCACGUUCUGUUCCUGGCCAGCUAUGUGAUCUUAGGCAACUGUGAAUCUGUUUCUCUUCUGUGUAAAAUGGGGGACCCUUGCCUCUUAAGAAUGAAAUAAAAGAUAUGCAGUCUUUGGCAGGUAGUGGGCGCUCAAUAAAUGCUUAU
rnacentral:lncRNA from 10 species